AUUGAACGCUGGCGGCAUGCUUUACACAUGCAAGUCGAGCGGCAGCGCGGGGGCAACCCUGGCGGCGAGCGGCGAACGGGUGAGGAAUACAUCGGAACGUACCCCGGAGUGGGGGAUAACGCCGCGAAAGCGGCGCUAAUACCGCAUAUGCUCUGAGGAGGAAAGUGGGGGACCUGCAAGGGCCUCACGCUCUGGGAGCGGCCGAUGUCCGAUUAGCUAGUUGGUGGGGUAAAGGCCCACCAAGGCGACGAUCGGUAGCUGGUCUGAGAGGAUGAUCAGCCACACCGGAACUGAGACACGGUCCGGACUCCUACGGGAGGCAGCAGUGGGGAAUAUUGCGCAAUGGGCGAAAGCCUGACGCAGCCAUACCGCGUGUGUGAAGAAGGCCUUC
rnacentral:rRNA from 1 species